CCCCUCUCCUCACCCCCACUCAGCUCCUCUUACUCUCCUGGAGGGGCAGGCAGGGCUCACUGAGGACCCGCUCUCCCUCCAAGCUCCCGCUGUACCUCCCAUUCAGCACUUUCAAUGGGGACCAAGGGAGAGAAUGAGAGUCAGGGGCUGGUUUCAGCCAGCGAGCAGCAGGCAGAGAGAGAAAAACUGGCAAAGAAGUUUGCUUGUGCUGGGUCCCAGCUUUGUCAGCCAGCUGGGCCAGAUGCCACCGUGGAGGCAUCUGUCUCCACACAUCCUGUUUCUGGGGAUUGAUUCGCACAGCUGUCUCUUAGAUGGAAAGGAGGUGGCUGCCAACAUGACCCAGAGCAUCCUUCCAGCCCUACUUUAGGCAGGAUAGCUGAGUGGGAAGAUCCUGGGUUUUCAGUUGGGCAGGGAUUUCAAUCAGAUUCUGACACUCCCUAGAGGUGUCACCUUGGGUAAAUUGCCCAUAGUGCCAGAGAUGUAUAAUAGCGGUAAGAAUGUUUGGUUCAAAUCCCAGUUCUCCUUCCUAGCUGUGUGGCCUCAGACAACUUACCUGAUAUCUCUGAAUCUCAGUUCUCUGAAUCUCUGAAAUGGGGAUCCUACCUGUACUUAUUCUCGUAGGAUUGUUGGGAAGAUUGAGUGACUUAAUGCACAUUCAAGAGUUUAGAACAGUGCCUGGCACCAAGUGUAGUCUCUGACUGUUAUAACCUUCUCUGAGCCUGUAAAAUGGGGUAACCUCACCUACUUCUGGGGUCAUUCUGAAGGACCAAAGAGCUAAUGGAAGUGAAGCACCUAGUCAUAUGCCUGGCACACAAGAGAUGCUCAAAAAUGGCAAUCUUAAUGGAAGUAGGAUUAUAUAGUAUGAGUCCUUAGUCUGAGAACUACCUUGCGUAAUACACUUUAUGUCUCUGAGGCUCAACUUGGACACCUGUAAAAUGGGGGCACCAACCGGAUGUCCUGCAAGUUUGACUUAAUUCUGACACUGUCUACCUGAAGAUAACAUCAGACCCCACAGGGAAAUUCUAAGGCUUUUAGGAGCUCUGUGCUAAGAAUGGAGAAGACUAAAUAUUUGCAGGUCCUUCUAGUUGUGGCAUGUGGGACUCUGCCUCAAUGUGGCCUGAUGAGUGGCACCAUGUCUACGCCCAGGAUCUGAACCAGAGAAACCCUGGGCUGCUGCAGAGGAGCUCGCGAACUUAACCACUGGGCCACGGGGCUGGCCCUUCAGAGAAGAGGGGAAGAAAGAAAGGGGCACGACUAAGGACUCUACAUGGCUCACCCACCUGUCUUCCCUGGGAAGAUCAAAGUUACCUGGUUACUAUCAUUUGAUUCACAGCUCUGGAGCUGACAGGUAUAGAUUGCUUUAAGCCAGCACCCAGGAAGAUCAUCCAACUGGAAAAGCAGUCAUCAGAGAACAGAGAAGCCUGAGCUCUUCAAAGAAGUCUAAGGUCAUGGAACCAAACAAGCUUCCUAUAUUCACACCUUUUCAAUUCAAAUAUCUCUUCUCUGACCUGCACCACAAGUUCUCCCUUCACACUCGCUUUUCAUAUCCGAUAAUUCUGAAAAUGACAUGUAUCUCUCCUGUAAGCCUUUAAGUUCCAAGAGAUAAGAGGCUGCAUCUGUCUUGUUCGUCAGCAUGUAUGGGGCCUUGCUUUGCAUGGUGGUUGCAUGCGCGUGCUUUUUUUGUGUUAAUUCAUUGAGCUCUUGGUGCAAUGCCAGUGCCCAGUAAAUAUUCAUUGAAUGCAUGAAUGAAUCACAGAGUCUUCGGUAGUUAUCCAGGCCAUUCACCCACUACAUUCCUGAAUCCUUGCCUCAAAAUUCCUACCAAGUGUCUGCUAUUAUUUGCCAACAAAACAGCUCUAGUGACAAGGAGCUCUCUACUGCCCAAGGCUGCCUGUUUAUUUUUUGUGUAGUUCUGUUGGCUAGAAAGUUCUUCUUAAUAUGGAGCUGAAAUAUAUCUCCUUGAGGCUUCCAGUCAGUUUCUUGUUCUAUCCUUAUGAUCACAUAAAUCAAGCCUACGCCCUCUUUGUGACGACAACCUUUUAGACAUUUGAAGUUAGUUCUCACACCCACCUCUUCUCCAAGCUAAUCACAAAAUCAUUGAUGAGACGCAUAUUUGUUGAGUACCUACGAAAGGAAUAGGCUAGAGAACACAAAGAUGAAAAGAUAUAAUACCUGUCCUGAGGUCUCCAGUCUUGGGGAGCCAGAGAAAUUUAAGAGAGAAUGUGAUAAGUGCUAGGGAUGGUGGAGACACAGGGGAAAGAGAGCCCAAGCCCACUCAAGGAGACCCUUGAGGAAGCCUCCACAGAGGAGUGGGCUAUAGAAUAUGCUCCAAGCAGGCCAGGGAGGAGAGGAUGUUCCAAGAGGAAGGGAGAGCAUACACAAAAAUCUGGCAAUAUAAGAGUCCAUGGCAUGGAAAGAGAACUUUCAGUAGUUCCAUAUGGCUAGGAAGACCGCAAGUCCCAGCUUGCUCAGAACAGUCCAGUUUGUGCCUGUUGUCCCAGAAAACGUUUAGUAUGUCCUCAGUCUCAAAAGUGGCCUAGAUUGGAUAAUAAAUUAUAUGGUCAUUCUAAGUAUGCCUGGGACAUACAGUCUAAGGGUGAAGUGGAAAUGGGGGAAAUGAAGGCAGAGGGAGGCAGAUGCUGAUCACAGGGGCCUUGUGGGCCAAGUUUACAAAAACAUUCAGUUAACUGGAUUUUGUAUGGUGUCUUCCCUUUGAAGUCAUCUUCUCCAUGUAUAAUCUAACUCAUAGAUAGAUAAGUACAUCUAUUGAAGAUGAUGGUUGCUACUGGUUACCAUUUAUGGAAGACUUACCAGGUAAGCACUUCCCGCAUAGCCUGGGGUGCGGUGAGCUGCCCCUCUGCUGACCCUGGUUCAGGUAUGUCCUGUAACUGCUUGUCUACCAUUGGGUCUUGAUUUUGACUUGUUUUUAUGAUUGUAAGAUUGUGUCCUGAGUCAACAUUAGGCAAUCCCCUCAGGGCCUUCUGUUUCCAACUAGAAACUUUGUAAGGCUUUCCUGGAGGGGGAUAGCUAGGGUCAGGAGUAGGCUUAUUAUCUACAAGCAAUUUGUUUUAAAGGACUGGCAUGAUUUGUAUAUUGGAGGGACUUGAAGAAUAUUCGAAUGAAUGAGUUUAUUUGGCUCUCAGAUGAUGCAAUAACCAAGUAAUGUGGAGUUAGAUAUUUGAACAGGCAGCCAGGGGAAAUGGUUUAAAUGUAAGAAAUACUUGAAUUACAUGGAAAGUGGAUAGUAAGAAUGGGCAUUUGAGAUUUUAUUUAUUUAUUUUUUUCCUUUUUCUCCCAAAGCCCCCUGGUACAUAGUUGUGUAUAUUUUUUUAGUUGUGGGUCCUUUUAGUUGUGGCAUAUGGCACGUGGUCUCAGCAUGGCUCGAUGAGCGGUGCCAUGUCUGCGCCCAGGAUUCGAACUGGCAAAACCCUGAGCCAUUGAAGUGGAGCGUGCGAACUUAACCACUCAGCCACGGGGCUGGCCCCAAGAAUGGGCAUUUGAAAUAUGUCUGAGUGAAUGAUUUUGUCCGUAGUGCCCCCUGCGACAUCUGUCCCUCAGUGGCAAGUGUUGGUUUGUACCCCAAACUGAAUGUAGCCGUCCGCUAGAGCAGUUCUGCAACGGCUAGCUUCAGGCUGCUUUUGCCCACCAGGAAGCCAGGUGAUAGUGGACCUCAGGGCUUCUAGAGGCUCCCCCAUCCCAGCCACACUUGGAUGCUGCAAGGAAAUAUGAGUCUACUAGGAACGGUCAUGUCAACCCACCCUUCUCAUUUGUCCUUUGUCAACCUAUUAAUGUUUGGGGCUAGUUUGUGGAUCUAGGUAUAUAAAUUUGCCAGGGCUGCUGAAACAAGGUACCACAAACUGCGUAGGUUGAACAACAGAAAUUUAUUGUCUCACAGUUCUGGAGACUAGAAGUCUGAAAUGAAGGUGUCGACAGGACUGGUUCCCAGCUAGAAACUUUGUAAGGCUUCCCAGGAGGAGGCUAGCUGGGGUCAGGAGUAGAUCCAUUAGCUAUAAACAACUUGCUUUAAAGGACUGGCAUGAUCUGCGUAUUGGAGGGACUUGUAAGGAGCCCUUCUGAGAGCUGUGAGGGAGAAUCUGUUCCACGCCUCUCCCUGAGACUGGUGGUUUCCUGGCAAUAUUUGUUGUUCUUUGGCUUUUAAAAGUAUCACCUGAUCUUUGCCUUCAUCUUCACCUGGCAUUCUCCCUAUGCACGUCUGUGUCCAAAUUUUAUCUUUUUAUAAGGACACAGUUAAAUUGGAUUAGGGACCUACCCUACUCCAGAAUGGCCUCAUCUUAACUAAUUACAUCUUUAGUGACCCCAUUUCCAAGCAAAGUCACAUUCUGAUACUAGGGGUUAGCACUUCAACAUAGGACUUAUUGGAGGACACAAUUCCACCCCUAAGACUGGGGUAGACAGAAACAGUGACAGCAUAGAUGCAUUACUAUUGAUUACGACUGCAACCAACUCUACUUUUUGGGAAACCAUCAACUCAGAAAGAAUCCCAUGGCUAGGGGAGACAUACCUCGAUCCUGCUGUAACAAGUCAAAGGUAUAGCCCGUAGAUGUGGGUCAGUUUGCCUUGAGCUUUGCAUGUGACUUCUCCCCAGAGGCUCCUUACUUGAGGGCACACACGGGACCCUGCUCACCAGGGUACAGAGUAGCCUGUGGCUCUGGAAACCUUGUUUUAAUCUGUUACCUGAUUUUCCAAGAGUUCAUCUUCAAUCUUAUGCCAUUAUUCUACCCUAGAACCAACUAUCUUCGUUCUCUCUGAGAUGAAUGCAAAAACCUUGUAACCAGUCUGCCCAUUUGGUUCUUCUCCAGCCGUUCUCCACACUAUGCAGAGGGAUUGUUUUAAAACACAAAUGUGAUACAGUCAGCAACUUGAUGGAAACGACCUCAAUGGCUGCUUGCUGCUCUCGAGAUAAAGAUCAACACGCUAUGUCCUACAAGGCCCUGAGGUCUCCAACAGGAGGCUUACCAUCUUCAUCUAGUCCUUAGUUGCAUUUUUUAAAAAAUAAAAUUGAACUGGCAAUGCUCUGUUUCUUGAUCUGGGUGCUGAACACUGGUACUUACCCUGUGAAUAUUCAUCAAGCUCUACUGUUUGAUUUGUGGGCUUGUCUGUAUGUACGGUAUAUUUCAAUUAAAAAACAAAACCUCAAAACAAUUGAAUGAGUUGCUUAAAGUUCUG
ensembl:lncRNA